rnacentral:lncRNA from 1 species
UUUUUUUUUUUUGAAAUAUAAAUUUAAAUAUAGAUAUAUAUAUAUAUAUAUAUAUAUCGAAUGUUAAAUUUUUAUUAUUAUAUUUGCUAAAAUUAGACCUGGCAAUUUCGACCCAUAUCCGCGGGUGCCUGCGGGUUACCCGCAAAUUUGCGGGUAUGAGUAUCAACAUUUUCAACCCAAAAAAUUAUGGGUAAAACGGGUGGGUACCCAUUAAGCUAUGAGCAUUUUGGGUAACCCGCGAGCACCCACGGAUACCCGCACAUAUAUUUUUUAAUUACAAAAUAUAUUUUCUUAAUUAAAAUAUAUAUUUUUUUAUUUACUCAUCCUACAAAUUCUAACUAUAAUUUUUUAUCACGUCUUUUAUAUUACGAAAUUUUUAAGUUUUAAGACUUUAAAUAUUUUUAUUGAAUGUUAUGAUAUUUUAAAUAAUGAGUUAUGCUAUAUUUUUAAGGGAAAACUUCAAAAACCCCCCCUGUGGUUUCGUGCAUUCUCACUUUGCUACCCUGUGGUUUAAAACGUAUCAAUUUACCCCCCUGUGGUUUCAUUUUUAUCUUUUCGGAAGCUUUUUCGUUAAUAUUUCGUUAAAUUAUAUACAAAAAAACUUCAGAUAACCAUCUAUAUUUAUCGAAUAGUCACUUUAGUAUCCUUUAAUUUUAACUUUGUCACUGAUUUUAAAAAAAUAAUAAUAAUAAAAUUGAUAACAACAAGAUAAAAACGAAACCACAGGGGGGCAAAUUGAUACGUUUUAAACCACAGGGUAGCAAAGUGAGAAUGCACAAAACCACAGGGGGGGUUUUUGAAGUUUUCCCUAUUUUUAAAACUUAUAUGUAUGUAUUUUGCAUUUAAAAAAUAUAAGAGAAAAAAAGAAAAAAAAUUAUGGGUAACCCGCAUACCCACCCGCUCACCCGUGGGUGGGUAUGGGUAAUGAUGUUGGCUACCCAAAAACUUGUGGGUAAAUUUUACCUAUGCCCAAGUAACCCGUGGGUACAAUAACUCGCCCGCGGAUUACACAACCCGCCCGUUUGCCAGGUCUAGCUAAAACCACUACAACAAAAAUGAUGUAUAGUGAUAUUUUUAAAUAUCAGUACAGGUCAAACAAAUUACUACUGGCUAAAUUACCGACACUUUUAAAAAGUGUUGCUAUAUGUGGGGUCGCUAGGUAUAUAGUGACAGUUUAAGAGUGACGGUAUCACCUAAAAAAAGUGCUGCUAAUUUAACAAUAAUUAUUUAAGCAUUUAGCAACUGCCGGAACUCUACCUCAUUGGCUGUGGUAGGGGAGGAGGAGGAGAGCGAAGGGCUCUUCAUCUAGGAUUUCAGUGGAUUGAGUGAGAGGAGAAAGGGAGAUGGUGAUCGAUUUUUUUUUUUUUUCCUUUUCUGUUUGUAAUCGGACCGAAUGGGCUGAGUGGGUUGGGUUGAAUAGAGUAAUUUUUUAUUUUUGGUUGGAUUGGACUUUAUAUUUAGGUCUUAGUAGAUUUUUUUUAAAGUUUUAGUAUAAAUGAAACACUUACACAAAAAUGUCCCAAACAUAUAUCCCUAUAACCUAAUUCUGUUGUAGUGAACGGAUUCGGAUACAAUCGAAUAUUUCUUCGAAUUCGAAUAUAAAUCGAAUAUUUCUAUUUGGAUAUUAGUCAAAUAAUAAUAUAUACUAAUAUACACACAUAAAAAUGAAUUAAAAUUAAUAAAUAUAUAACUAAAGUUUGUUAAAUUUUUAUAUACAUAUAUUUAAUUUAAUAAAUCUAAGGAUUAAUGCAUACAAAUUUUAUUUCAGUUAUUCAUUUUGAGACUACUCGUUUACUAGACAAACAAAGUCAAAAAUAUAUAAAAUUUGGUUUCUAUAUAGUUCCAACGCUAUAUAUCAUUUUUUAUAGAACAAAUAGCUUAAUCGAAUAUUUUAUCAUCGCAAACAACUUACAAGCACGAAAGUUUCUGUAUUUUUUAAAGCGUAAUAACCUAAUUCAUAUAUAAAAAUUUGAAAGUACAAUAUAAUAUUAAAAUAGGAGAAUGGAAUAUUA